rnacentral:lncRNA from 1 species
AAUAAGUUGUCCUAAAUACCCUCUAGGACUUAUAGGACGGGAUGGGUAAGCACAGAACAAGCAUCCGUGACCAAUCCACAUGUUUAAAUAGCCUAUACAGGGUGGGAAGGGUAGAAUAUGGAUAUGAUGACAGAUGCGCUAAUAUAUCGUGUGACCCCUCUUUUGAGGAGUGAUUGCUGGGUAUUGCAUUGAUGUGAUCCAUAUUUUGCAUAAACC